rnacentral:rRNA from 1 species
AGUGAACGCUGGCGGUAGGCCUAACACAUGCAAGUCGAACGGCAGCACAGUAAGAGCUUGCUCUUACGGGUGGCGAGUGGCGGACGGGUGAGGAAUACAUCGGAAUCUACUUUUUCGUGGGGGAUAACGUAGGGAAACUUACGCUAAUACCGCAUACGACCUACGGGUGAAAGCAGGGGAUCUUCGGACCUUGCGCGAUUGAAUGAGCCGAUGUCGGAUUAGCUAGUUGGCGGGGUAAAGGCCCACCAAGGCGACGAUCCGUAGCUGGUCUGAGAGGAUGAUCAGCCACACUGGAACUGAGACACGGUCCAGACUCCUACGGGAGGCAGCGGUGGGGAAUAUUGGACAAUGGGCGCAAGCCUGAUCCAGCCAUACCGCGUGGGUGAAGAAGGCCUUCGGGUUGUAAAGCCCUUUUGUUGGGAAAGAAAAGCAGCAGAUUAAUACCCCGCUGUUCUGACGGUACCCAAAGAAUAAGCACCGGCUAACUUCGUG